rnacentral:rRNA from 1 species
UGGGGAAUUUUUCGCAAUGGGGGAAACCCUGACGAAGCAACGCCGCGUGGAGGAUGAAGGCCUUCGGGUCGUAAACUCCUGUCGACUGGGAAGAAAGCGUCUUGACCCAAUACGUCGAGAUGUUGACUGUACCGGUGGAGGAAGCCACGGCUAACUCUGUGCCAGCAGCCGCGGUAAUACAGAGGUGGCAAGCGUUGUUCGGAAUUACUGGGCGUAAAGGGCGCGUAGGCGGUUUGUCAAGUCCCGUGUGAAAGCCCUCGGCUCAACCGAGGAACGGCGCGGGAAACUAGCAGGCUUGAGUUCGGGAGAGGGAAGCGGAAUUCCGGGUGUAGCGGUGAAAUGCGCAGAUAUCCGGAGGAACACCGGUGGCGAAGGCGGCUUCCUGGACCGACACUGACGCUGAGGCGCGAAAGCUAGGGGAGCAAACGGG